GUGGAUCUGCCUUGCACUUCGGGAUAAGCCUGGGAAACUGGGUCUAAUACCGGAUAGGACCAUGCUUUAGUGUGUGUGGUGGAAAGUUUUCGGUGCAAGAUGAGCCCGCGGCCUAUCAGCUUGUUGGUGGGGUAAUGGCCUACCAAGGCGACGACGGGUAGCCGGCCUGAGAGGGUGUACGGCCACAUUGGGACUGAGAUACGGCCCAG
rnacentral:rRNA from 1 species